GAAAACGAAGCCAAGCCGCGGCUCAGGGCUCAGGCUCCCUCCAGAGGACAGAUUCAGUCACUUCUGCAAAGCCCUGGCAACAGAAACCUGCCCUGAGGGACUCCUGCCGAGCACCAACCCUCCCCGGCUGGGCACAGGCACGUUGCAGACGAGGGGGGUAGGCACAGUUCUCCAAUGUGCAUGCUGCGCACCGUGGUGCCGAUGGGGGGGGGCACCCACGCUCCAAAGCCGUCCCCGCACGACUUGUGGAGUGCAGCGUGCGGGCUGCCCAAAUGCCCUGUUCCAGCAGGCAAGGAAAGCGACUGAAGAAAGGCAGGGAUGCAAGCAGAGGCUACUGACUGGAGAGCUAAAGAGGAUUUCUUUCCGGUUCACAUCUGGACACUGCUGGCUUGAAUGCGCUGCAACAUCACAGCAAGAGGGGAAAAUCAAACCUACCCCCUCAUCAAGGACUCAGCAUCCAGGGGAAAAGAGACCUAGUGCCAAGCAUGUGCUGAGAAGCUGGUUCAGCCCCUCACAGAUGAGAAGAGCCAUGUGCUGGGCUCCCCGGGGCAGAGCCAGCCUGCCCGAAUGCCAGGAUUUCAACAAAAGGUGAUGCUUCUCCCACUCCACAGUGGUAGCACAGAGCAACUUUGUGGCCAAGCAGUGUCCACUUCAGCUAUGCAACCAUCCCAGUUAAAUUUCACUGAGAUACUGCCCAAAACAUCAGUGUGUGCCAGGAUGAGCCUUCUGUUACACAAAUAACCACAGAAGCAGAAAUAACAAAGUCAGCCCCAGCAUUUACCUAUCAGUGCAGGCUCAGCCCAUGCAGCCUGCUCUUGGAUCAGCACUAUAGAUACGUGACAGAGCUAAGAAUAACAGAUUCAUUUUUUCAUGGUAAACUAAGGCAGAUCAGACUCUGAGGGGGUCAGGGAGACACUAAUUAUACCUGCCAGAGGGAAAGCAAAUAACACUUAGAGAGCAUCAAAUCAAAUGCUCCUGUGGCAGUUGUGGGCCCUUGCUCUUACAGAAUGCCUUAAAUUAGUUGCACCAAGGUUCACCAGCUUCUGAGGAAUUUAUUUUAAAGUAAAACUAAUUUCAUCUUAAAACUGAAGAAGUGCUUUUAUACUGGAGUUCUUACAUGAAUAUGACUCUAUUUGUUGUUACUAGUAAUAGCUGUGGUUGUUAAGGUGCAUGGCACCUGCUUGGCCAACAGUGAGUUUCUUACUCAUACAAAUCUCUCCUAGUGCUCAUGCCAGCCCCUGCUGUCAGCCUGCCACCACAGCCUGCCAUUCAGCUGACGGCAGGGCCUCCACAAUCUGUCCUUCCUUCCUUUAGUGCACAGAGCUGGCUGUGCACACAGGCAAACAAAGAGCAUGUGUGCUUAGUCCAGGGCAUCAAGACCAUGCACACAGUAGGAGUCACGACAGCAGACCAUCAGAUGACUGCAGUGCCUUCCUCAAGCAGCCAUGGAUCCAUCCCAAACCAAGGGUUUUGAAAGCAGAACCAAUCUGGGGGCUCACACAGACCAGUGAGCAUAGGGCACUAAGCUGGAUAAGGCUAAUACAAACAGGCAUUACUGCUUCUGUCAAACAAAACUGAAACUCUGCUCUGGUUAUUGAGAAAUUCUAAUGUAAAAUGGACAAUGCUGGGUCUCACAACUCUUAAUAUGCUAAUUUCAUAUUGAUUCCUUCAUAAAUCAAUAAAGUGAAAGGUCCUCA